rnacentral:rRNA from 1 species
AACGAACGCUGGCGGCAUGCCUAACACAUGCAAGUCGAACGAACCCUUCGGGGUUAGUGGCGCACGGGUGCGUAACACGUGGGAAUCUGCCCUUUGCUUCGGAAUAACAGUUAGAAAUGACUGCUAAUACCGGAUGAUGUCGUAAGACCAAAGAUUUAUCGGCAAAGGAUGAGCCCGCGUAGGAUUAGGUAGUUGGUGGGGUAAAAGGCCUACCAAGCCGACGAUCCUUAGCUGGUCUGAGAGGAUGAUCAGCCACACUGGGACUGAGACACGGCCCAGACUCCUACGGGAGGCAGCAGUGGGGAAUAUUGGACAAUGGGCGAAAGCCUGAUCCAGCAAUGCCGCGUGAGUGAUGAAGGCCUCGGUU